rnacentral:lncRNA from 1 species
CGCGCGGCGGGGCGGGCGGGGAGCGCGGCCGGAGCCCCGAGCAGAGCUGAGCGCGGCGGAGCUCGGGAGCCGCGGCCCGCGCCCUGCGCCGCCGCCUGCUGGUCUGCUCCGGGUGCUCGGCCCCCGGUGCUAAGGCUCGGGUCUAUAAAUAGCAGGUUACAGCUCCUUCUCGGCGCGCACACGCUCACGCGCGAACGCAGGAAAGUCAGCCUAAAAGUGUCUGCCGCCGCCGCCCCCCGCUCAGCCUCCGGGAGAGUCCUGUGAUUUUGUGGAUAAUAUUCUCCGGACUCUAUUUUGGUGGAGAGUAACAGAACCCAAAGAAAUGGUGUUACCUGGCCAGAGAUCUGCUGUCUUUUAUGAAAAGUCAGACCAAGGUUAGUGCUGCUUAUUUUUGAUAUGUUUUUAGUCUGUUUACCACAUGAAACUAUUGACUUUC